GAAAUGCACUGAAUAUUCCAAAUGUUUCUGCUGCAUUUUGGAUUUUUCUGUUUUCUGCAUUUACCCUCUUCAGCUCUGUUAGAACAAGGCAAUAAACUGCGUAAUGCCAUGGUGAUUUCUGCAAUGAAAUCAAGCCCAGAGACCAGCAUGUUGUUGGACCAAGUUCAUCCUCCUAUUAAUGAAGAUUCUCUUAGAGCAUCAACACAGAUCAGAGCCUUUUCUAGGAAUCGGUUUAAAGACCACAUUGAAGAUCACCUCCUCCCUUCAACUGAGAAUACAUUUUGGAGACAUGACACAAAAGCUGAUACCAGAGCUAUACAGCUGCUAUUAGGCAGCCUGCCGAGUGCCUGCGAUUGCAGGCGCGCGCCGCCACGCCUGACUGGUUUUCGUAUUUUUUUGGUGGAGAUGGGGUUUCUCUGUGUUGGCCGGCUGGUCUGCAGCUCCUAACCGCGAGUGAUCCGCCAGCCUCGGCCUCACGAGGUGCCGGGAUUGCAGACGGAGUCUCGUUCACGCAGUGCUCAAUGGUGCCCAGGCUGGAGUGCAGUGGCGUGAUAUCGGCUCGCUACAACCUCCACCUCCCAGCCGCCUGCCUUGGCCUCCCAAAGUGCCGAGAUUGCAGCCUCUGCCCGGCCGCCACCCCGUCUGGGAAGUGAGGAGCGUCUCUGCCUGGCCGCCCAUCGUCUGGGAUGUGAGGAUCCCCUCUGCCUGGCUGCCCAGUCUGGAAAGUGAGGAGCGUCUCUGCCCGCCCGCCAUCCCAUCUAGGAAGUGAGGAGCGCCUCUUCCCGGCCGCCAUCCCAUCUAGGAAGUGAGGAGUGUCUCUGCCCGGCCACCCAUCGUCUGAGAUGUGGGGAGCGCCUCUGCCCCGCCGCCCCGUCUGGGAUGUGAGGAGCGCCUCUGCCCGGCCGCGACCCCGUCUGGGAGGUGAGGACCGUCUCUGCCCAGCCGCCCCGUCUGAGAAAUGAGGAGACCUCUGCCCGGCAGCCACCCCAUCUGAGAAGUGAGGAGCCCCUCCGCCCAGCAGCCGCCCCGUCUGAGAAGUGAGGAGCCCCUCCGCCCAGCAGCCACCCCGUCUGGGAAGUGAGGAGCGUCUCCGCCCGGCAGCCACCCCGUCCCGGAGGGAGGUGAGGGGUCAGC
rnacentral:lncRNA from 10 species